AAAGUUUAUGACUAAAUUGGCAUCCGUUUAAUAGGUUUAGAAUUGAUUGAAUAAUUUUCCCUACCUUUAAGCUCCGUGUAGUUCAUUUUCUACUAAUCUUAUUGCAUAUCAGUUUGUUGAACUAUAUUUUUAUGGUUUGGUUAUGCCAACACUCCUCCUUGUACGAGAGUUCUCGGUUCCAACUAAAUAUUCCCCACCAAACAAAAUCUAACUAUUUCAGUUCUUCUACUAUUAGGAUGUCUAUCUUCAUCCAAAGCAAUAUAUUGGCAGUAUCAUCUAAUUCAUCAUCGUUCAAGAUGCUUAACCAAUUAUUUCAACAUCGCCCCAAGUGGGUCAACCUGUAAUGCGUUUGGAGUGAUCGCACUUAUUUCCAUUCGGUGGGACACAGCCAAAAGCACCAUGAUGAACUCCACCAUGCCAAUCCAUUUAUUCUACGUCAUCAACAUUUCUUCUUUCUUUCUUCUUUGGCACACCAAGCAUUCUUCUUACUCCUCUACUAAGUUUAUACAUUUUCAAUGCUGAAAACGUGAGUAAACAUGAGAUGGGA
rnacentral:lncRNA from 1 species